CCCAGUCGAGCGGCGAACGGGUGAGUAACGCGUGGAUGACCUGCCCUUAGGUGGGGGAUAACCCGGGGAAACUCGGGCUAAUACCGCAUAACAUCGUGAGAUCAAAGGGGGCGCAAGCUCUCGCCAGAGGAGGGGUCCGCGUCCGAUUAGCUAGUUGGUAGGGUAAUGGCCUACCAAGGCGACGAUCGGUAGCCGGCCUGAGAGGGUGAUCGGCCACACUGGAACUGAGACACGGUCCAG
rnacentral:rRNA from 1 species